rnacentral:rRNA from 1 species
CACGUAGGGGGCGAGCGUUGUCCGGAUUUAUUGGGCGUAAAGAGCUCGUAGGCGGCUCAGUAAGUCGGGUGUGAAAACUCCAGGCUCAACCUGGAGACGCCACCUGAUACUGCUGUGGCUAGAGUCCGGUAGGGGAGCAUGGGAAUUCCUGGUGUAGCGGUGAAAUGCGCAGAUAUCAGGAGGAACAACCAGUGGCGAAGGCGGUGCUCUGGGCCGGAACUGACGCUGAGGAGCGAAAGCGUGGGGAGCAAACAGG